UCCUCCUCCUCCUCCUCUUGCUGCUGCUGCUGUGUCCUCCAUCACUCCAUUUCCUUCAUUCUGCUCUCCUUGAGGACGGAUUCAGGCCUUCCUGCAGAGCAAAUCCCUCGCUUUCUCAUCCUCCGUCUCUGAAAAGAGGAAAGGGUGAGCAAAGUCUGCAAGACUUCAUAAAGAAGAAGUACCGGACCUGCUAGACUCCUCGGCUUCAAUCCCACAUGGAAGCAAAAGCCAAAGGAGCGCCAAAGUCUGCCUCCAAAGCAGAGAAGAAGGAGGCAGCACCACCACCGGCAAAACCAGACCCAGUCCCAGCCGAACCCACCGAACCUGAAAAACCAGCAGAAGAUGGAUCGACCAACCAACAGGGGGCAGCAGAGUCCGCAGGAUCCUGCUGUGAAACCUUAGAAAGUUUGAAACCUUUCCUGAUUGGAGGAGCCGUCAUCGCCCUUGGCGCCGUAUUGGUUGGCGUAAUCUUACUAGCCAAGAAAAACUGACCCGAGACCUGUGAUUGUUUGCAAAAUAUUGGUUGAUUAGUUCACAGACUAUUAAAGUUUAUAUCUGUAUACAUAUAUAGCUAUAUAUAUAAAAAGGGUUGGGGAGUCACUAGGCGAUAUUAUUUUAUGCUGUACUUUAAUUUCAAUGCUUGUGGUGAUGUUUCCAACAGCUAUUAAAGCAAGCUAGAGAUUUAGGCCAAACACUUUUUCAUAUCACACAGCUGUAGCUCGUGCAUAUUUACAUUUUCAUCAUAGUCACUCUGCCUGUUGGUUCACUGCUCAAAAAAAUAAAAUAAAUAAAAAUCAUCUAUGACACAUGAAUACAGUUCCAGAGCAAUGUUCAGUCCCACAACUGCCAAAACAAUAUUAGGAUGCACGAUUCAAGGUUAACACUACAAGAGUUUUCUGAAGCAAGUCGUUUAAUGGGAUUUAUGCGAUACUAGUGGUGUGCGAUAUUGUCUAAAAUGAUUCUUGUUCAUUUUUUGAGGAUGUUUUUCUGAUAAUUAUUAAAGAGUCUUUUGCAGAGUGUGUUUUUGUGCUAGUCUAGUUAGAAAACUAGGAUAAAGCAAAAAAAGAGUCAGUCGUUGAAUUAUUCACUCAACCGUUUCGAUGGAAACUAAUGAUUCAUGUAUUUUUAAUGAAUCACUGAAUCAGUGCCUCCAUUGAUUUGUUUAAAAAGAGAGAAACUAAGAAACUGAACACCACAGAUAUUUGCCUCAGGAUUUUUUGUUUUUGUUUACUUUGAUACUUAACUAUAUCUAAAUAUCAAAUCAACAACAACAAAAAAAAACACUCGUACAACAUUAUUUAUCCCUUUCAUGACGAAUUCUAAAGCAAUUCUGAUUCGAGUCCAAUAGGAUUCAUCACACAGUGAAUGUUUUGGACUUACAAGACAUGCUUUGUUCGUUUUUUGUAAAGAGAAUAACACUCAACAAUAGAAACUAACCAUGGUUAUACUAACCAUGGUUAUAAAAACCAAGGUAACCACAAUUUCAUCAUAGUUUUGCUACAAUAACUGUAGUAUUUGGUAGUCAAUCAAUGCGACAAAAACACUUACUACAUUUUUACUAUAACAAAAUUAGUUAUUUUUUAGUAAAUUACAUGUAUUAUCAGUUAUAUAUUUAGUAAAUAAAUAUCGCACACCCCUACUUUAUAAAUAAAAACAGUUGGUUUCAUAAUCAAAAACUAGUCCAACUGGAAUUAGCCUUGUAUUGCUGAAAGAAUGUGUAAAGUAGAAAUGUAAAGAAAUAUUACGAUGUAUAUUUUAUGUAUGAGCUGCUCGUAUCGCUUCAUUUCCAAACCAAAAACAAGUCAUAAAAACAUUCGUACCGUAGUAGCCGAUCAUCUCAAAGUCUUAGUUUCUUGUCGGAACGAUGCGAUUUCCGAAAGUGGGCCAAUGGAAGUAGACAUGUGACGCAACAUAGCUAGAUAUUAUUAUGGCGGCUAAAACGGCUUCAAUUUCACAGACACACUACGACGACCGCUCGUCACGACAGAAAUAUUCCCUAAAUGCAUGCAGACACGGACAAUAUGCACUCACACGUCACAUGAUGAACAUACUGUUACAGAAAAUGACCUUUUCUUUAAAGUGCGUAUAUAAUGCAAUAAUUCAAAUAGAACUCUGUAUUUAACGGAAAGAAGACCAUUUAUUAGUUGUGAUAUUGACGAUGAGGAUGUUGACUCAGCAACAUGGUGGUUGUCUUGAUGGUGAUGAUGAUGAUGAAGGAUGAUUAUGAUUUUAUUUGUUGGAUUUAAUGUAGUUUACCUUUCCCUCUACUGUGCCAUAUGUGAUUAUUUUGCACACAACCUCGCCUGCUGCCUUUCCGCUGUGUGAAAUAAAAUAAGAUGGCUCCCUUGUGACUUGAUGACCUUAUUAAAGGACAAUGAACCACA